rnacentral:misc_RNA from 1 species
AACGAGGCCGACCUGCGGCUGAGUUACCUGCGGAGGGAUCAUUGCUGGAACGCGCCCCAGGCGCACCCAGAAACCCUUUGUGAACUCAUACCUUACUGUUGCCUCGGCGCAGGCCGGCCCCCCCGGGGGCCCCUCGGAGACGAGGAGCAGGCCCGCCGGUGGUCAUAAACUCUUGUUUUUACACCGAAACUCUGAGUACAAAACACAAAUGAAUCAAAACUUUUAGCAAUGGAUCUCAGA